ACAAACUUGGUCAUUUAGAGGAAGUAAAAGUCGUAACAAGGUCUCCGUUGGUGAACCAGCGGAGGGAUCAUUAUAGAGUUAUUAAAAACUCCCAACCCAUGUGAAUCUUACCUUUGUUGCCUCGGCGGAGAUCAAAAUCCGCCGGUGGUCCACUAAACUCUUGUUUAAAUUAUUUGAAUCUGAGUGUUUUACUUUUAUAAGUCAAAACUUUCAACAACGGAUCUCUUGGUUCUGGUAUCGAUGAAGAACGCAGC
rnacentral:misc_RNA from 1 species